rnacentral:ncRNA from 1 species
UAAAAAUCUAUGAAGUGGAAAGUAGCAUGUCGAUUUUUUAAGCGAGCUGAUAUUUUGGUGAAAGUUCAGUAUUAAGACAUAUGUGAAAUAGAGCCAUGGAGAUGAAUUAUCCGCUUAACGCGUUAAAAUUUUUAAGGUGGACUUUUAUUAAUAAGGUCAAUCAGAGUGGUACCGCGAAAUAUAAUCGUCUCUGCA